AGUGAACGCUGGCGGUAGGCCUAACACAUGCAAGUCGAACGGCAGCACCGUAAGAGCUUGCUCUUACGGGUGGCGAGUGGCGGACGGGUGAGGAAUACAUCGGAAUCUACUUUUUCGUGGGGGAUAACGUAGGGAAACUUACGCUAAUACCGCAUACGACCUACGGGUGAAAGCAGGGGAUCUUCGGACCUUGCGCGAUUGAAUGAGCCGAUGUCGGAUUAGCUAGUUGGCGGGGUAAAGGCCCACCAAGGCGACGAUCCGUAGCUGGUCUGAGAGGAUGAUCAGCCACACGGGAACUGAGACACGGUCCAGACGCCUACGGGAGGCAGCAGUGGGGAAUAUUGGACAAUGGGCGCAAGCCUGAUCCAGCCAUACCGCGUGGGUGAAGAAGGCCUUCGGGUUGUAAAGCCCUUUUGUUGGGAAAGAAAAGCAGCAGGUUAAUACCCCGCUGUCCUGACGGUACCCAAAGAAUAAGCACCGGCUAACUUCGUG
rnacentral:rRNA from 1 species